rnacentral:rRNA from 1 species
AGUGAACGCUGGCGGUAUGCCUAACACAUGCAAGUCGAACGGCAGCACAGUAAGAUCUUGCUCUUACGGGUGGCGAGUGGCGGGCGGGUGAGGAAUACAUCGGCAUCUACUUUUUCUUGGGGGAUAACGUAGGGAAACUUACGCUAAUACCGCAUACGUCCUACCGGUGAAAUCAGGGGAUCUUCGGACCUUGCGCGAUUGAAUGAGCCGGUGUCGGAUUAGCUAGUUGGCGGGGUAAAGGCCCACCAAGGCGACGAUCCGUAGCUGGUCUGAGAGGAUGAUCAGCCACACUGGAACUGAGACACGGUCCAGACUCCUACGGGAGGCAGCAGUGGGGAAUAUUGGACAAUGGGCGAAAGCUUGAUCCAGCCACGCCGCGUGGGUGAAGAAGGUCUUCGGGUUGUAAAGCCCUUUUGUUGGGGAAGAAAAGAAGUAGGUGAAACCAUCGAUGUUUUGACGGUACCCAAAGAAUAAGCACCGGCUAACUUCGUG